UUUUAGUUCCUAAACUUUGUCUAGGUCACACCCCAAAAGGGAUGAGACUCCUGGGCCAUUAGCUCAGGUGGUUAGAGCGCACCCCUGAUAAGGGUGAGGUCCCUGGUUCAAGUCCAGGAUGGCCCAUUCGGUGUUGGGGGUUUAGCUCAGUUGGUAGAGCGCCUGCUUUGCAAGCAGGAUGUCAGGAGUUCGAGUCUCCUAACCUCCACUGACCGAACUUGAUUCCCAUCUCCAUUUUUUUGGAGUUGAGCUCGAUUGGAGAGUGAUUUAGAUGUGUCCGCUGGAUGAACCCAGCUUCCUGUUAUUCCAAGUUUUAGGUUUUAAGUCUUGAAUUUGGUUGAUAAGAUGCUGGGCUCGGAUCAAAUGAUCAAGCAAUUGAUAAUUUGAUUUGAAGUUCUAGCAGAACCUUGACAACUGCAUAGGUGAAGUCUGGAAAAACAAAGCAUCUUACAGAUGCAUUGUUUUGAAUCUGAUCUUCUGAAAGGGAGAUUAGAUUUAGAGCAAUGAAAAUUCUUUUGAGCAAGAGCCGAGACUCUUAAACAUUCUUUAAUUCGUGUCGAGCGAAUCAGAGUUUGAUCUUGUUUUUAGCAAUAAAAACUUGAGAAUCUGCUUUCAACGGCGGUAAGCGUUUAAGAGGUUAAUUGGUCAAGCUACAAAGGGCUCACGGCG
rnacentral:tRNA from 1 species